AAUAGCUCAGUUGGUUAGAGUGCUGGUCUGUCACGCCAGAAGUCGCGGGUUCGAACCCCGUUUUCCCCG
rfam:Triticum aestivum genome assembly, contig: Triticum_aestivum_CS42_TGACv1_scaffold_142845_2BL